UAGGAGGGAGGCACCAGGGAACUUCCCUCCCUCACUUGAGCACAAUCCAAGAUGAAAGUUUCUGGGUUGUGUCCCCUUCCUUUCCUCUCACCCUCGCUCCCCCGCGGAGCCAAGGAACCAGCAAUUGUGCAAGAGGAGCCCGGCGCGCAGGGCGCGUAUCACGGAGCGCAUGGUACGAGCCGCCGGCUCCGGUGAUUAAUUAUCAGUAACCGAUGGCCUCGCGCUCACCAUGUCGGCUUUCCCAGUAGAGCCAGCAAGCCGAGCGCCUCCAGCGCAGCCGGGACGGAGGAGCGGCUCUGGGGAAGACGCCGAGGCUGCGCCCGAGUCUGAACGAAGCUGCUUCCAGCCACAUGAAGUCAGUAGGGCUGUUCUGAGGGGCCCCUAGAUUUUAUGACUGGUUUUUAGAUUGCAGAACCUACUCCGAGAGAGCAGACACUUUGACGAAGUGAUUCAUACUGACAGAUACGUUUGUUGGGUGGUGGCUUUUUUUUUUUAUUCUUAACAGAAAACAAAGAAAUAAACUGUCUUCCCCUGA